rnacentral:rRNA from 1 species
UACGUAGGCAGCGAGCGUUGUUCGGAGUUACUGGGCGUAAAGAGUGCGUAGGCGGUUUUCUAAGUUUGGUGUGAAAUCUCCCGGCUUAACUGGGAGGGUGCGCCGAAAACUGGAAGGCUUGAGUAUGGGAGAGGUAAGCGGAAUUCCUGGUGUAGCGGUGAAAUGCGUAGAUAUCAGGAGGAACACCGAUGGCGAAGGCAGCCCCUGGGCCAAUACUGACGCUCAUGCACGAAAGCGUGGGGAGCAAACAGG